rnacentral:tRNA from 1 species
UUUCUUAUAGUGUAUCACAACACACAAUAUCUUCAUUAUUGAAAAGCACCAAAGCUAAGAAAA